rnacentral:tRNA from 1 species
GCAAGAUUGAUGAAAUUGGUAAACGUGCUGGUUUAAGGUGCCAGUGGUAGUGAUACCUUGUGGGUUCGAGUCCCACAUCUUGCACCA